UGCAUUCCUGCCUCGAGGCCUGCCAGGUA
rnacentral:piRNA from 1 species